GGAUUGGUCAUCUAGUGGUAGGAUAACAGCUCUUCAUGCUGUGCACGCAGGUUCGAUUCCUGUCCAGUCUA